ensembl:lncRNA
GGUGGCAGGGUAGCCUAGUGGUUAGAGUGGAGGGGCGGCAGGGUAGCCUAGUGGUUAGAGUGGAGGGGUGCAGGGUAGACUAGUGGUUAGAGUGGAGGGGCGGCAGGGUAGACUAGUGGUUAGAGUGGAGGGGCGGCAGGGUAGACUAGUGGUUAGAGUGGAGGGGCGGCAGGGUAGCCUAGUGGUUAGAGUGGAGGGGCGGCAGGGUAGCCUAGUGGUUAGAGUGGAGGGGCGGCAGGGUAGCCUAGUGGUUAGAGUGGAGGGGCGGCAGGGUAGCCUAGUGGUUAGAGUGGAGGGGUGGCAGGGUAGACUAUUGGUUAGAGAGGAGGGGAGGCAGGGUAGCCUAGUGGUUAGAGUGGAGGGGUGGCAGGCUAGCCUAGUGGUUAGAGGGGAGGGGCGGCAGGGUAGCCUAGUGGUUAGAGGGGAGGGGCGGUAGCUAGCCUAGUGGUUAGAGGGGAGGGGCGGCAGGGUAGCCUAGUGGUUAGAGUGGAGGGGUGGCAGGGUAGCCUAGUGGUUAGAGUGGAGGGGCGGCAGGGUAGCCUAGUGGUUAGAGUGUAGGGGCGGCAAGGUAGCCUAGUGGUUAGAGUGGAGGAGCGGCAGGGUCGCCUAGUGGUUAGAGUGGAGGGGCGGCCGGGUAGACUAGUGGUUAGAGGGGAGUGGAG